GAAAUUUAAAAUUUAAAAUUUAAAAUUUAAAAUUUUAGAUUUUAAAAUUUAAAUUUUAAUUUCAAAUUUUGAAAUUUAAAAUUUAAAUUUUAAAUUUAAAAAUAUAAAUUUUAAAAUUUUAAAAUUUAAAUUCAAAUAUAACAAGAAGGUAAUAUCAUUAUUUUUACUUAUAAAAUCCUCCAUCCUUCUUAUUCUAUCUUACCUAACCAAACGCUAUUUUUUUUAUUCUCAAGAAUAACCCAAUUUUUAUCCAAAAGUAAAAUUAAACUAAUUUUCGUUUAUAUCUUAAUUUAUGUCUAUUCCUGAAAUAGCCAUCUUUUAUUUAUUUUCGAACCAAACGAUACCAUAGUGGAUAAAAAUUAUUGCCUACCUCUAAUGUAC
rnacentral:lncRNA from 1 species